rnacentral:lncRNA from 10 species
AACAGUUCUACCUGGAGCGGUUCAAGAGGGACAGGUUGGGGAGUUUGAAUCGUCUGUGCUCUUCAGUGGCUUUUCCCUGGGUGCAGAGCUGGAACGCACUCCCAUGUUGCCCUCCAGACCUGUGGGGCCGCUGCAAAAGAAAAUCUGCGUGAACUCAACGGCCUUGGAUGGAGCGGGCAGGAGCUGCUUCCAAGUUGAGACCCUUUGCAGAUUGGUGAGCAACUUUGCAAUGAGGAGCAGGAUCCUGAGAGAGAACAGAAGACCCUGACCCAUUGGUGCUCACUGAGCCUUGCCAACCUGUCAGAAAUGUUCGCCAUCGAGACUUGAAAGCAAAGAAAGUAAGGCCCAAGAUAGGAGCUGGGCUCUCAGGAUCCAUAUUAAACCAAAAUCAGAUGUUCAUGAUACUGAAGAUCUGUUCAUAUGCUGGGAAGACUGAGAUGUUGAUUUGAAUUUGAUAACAUAACGGUUCGUAUCACAUGUUUGUGCAAGAAUGUCCAUGCAGAAGUCUGACUGCUUUUUGUGGGGGUCAACCAAGUCAGAGACUGGAACGGCUACAGAGGAAAGAAAAUGAAAACCAUGAUAAUAGCUCCUAUCUAGAUAGAGUGAAGAUCAUAUGGGACCAUCAAUAUAUAAUCACUACUAUGAAUUGUAGUCUGUGUAAUACAAUGUUAAUAUUGAGUGUCAACUUGAUUGGAUUGAAGGAUGCAAACUAUUGUUCCUGGUUGUGUCUGUGAGGGUGUUGCCAAAGGAAAUUACAUUUGAGUCAUUGAACUGGGACAGGCAGACCCACCUUCAAUCUGAGUGGGCACAAGCUAAUCAGCUGCCAGUGGGGCUAGAAUAAAAGCAGGCAGAAGAACGUGGAAGGACUAGACUUGCUGAGUCUUCCAGUCUUCAUCUUUCUUCUGUGCUGGAUGCUUCCUGACCUCGGACAUCAGCCUCCAAGUUCUUCAGCUUUUGGACUCUUGGACUUACACCAGUGGUUUGCCAGGGGCUCUCAGGCCUUUGGCCACAGACUGAAGGCUGCACUGUUGGCUUCCCUCCUUUUGAGCUUUUGGGACUCAGACUGAUGCACCACUGGCUUCCUUGCUUCUCAGCUUGCAGACAGUCUAUCGUGGGACUUUACCUUGUGAUCAUGUGAGUUAAUUCUCCUUAAUAAACUCCCUUUCAUAUAUACAUAUAUUCUAUUAGUUCUGUCCCUCUAGAGAACCCUAAUACAUACAAGAACCCAGGACAAUAUCUGAAUGAAAAAGAAAAAAAAAUCUACUUUGUGAUAAGGACAGAAAAGUAGUUUGGGAAUUAAUUUGAUUUCUGUUUUGUUCAUAAUUGUCUAUGUGGCAUAUAACCACUGCUCACUCCCAUACCCAGGCCACCUGAAGACCAGAGUGAAUGACUGGGAUUCUGCAGACAGACUUCCUCAUUUCAGGAUGCAUCAUAGAUGUGGAUCAACUUCAACCAUAGUAUUUUUUAUUGAUUUCUGAUUUUUGCAUUGUAAAUAUCUUAUGCUUUGGUUGAAUUGAUUAAGAAUAUUAAAUUACCAGCAAGGAUGCAUACAUAUUAAAUAAUAGGACAGACCAGAAUUUCUAGUUUCCUCAGCAACUUUCCAACUUAAACUUUCUUUGCGUGUCUUGAAUAUAGAUGCCCAGGUCUACAGAAAAAUUAGGAGAAGGUUUCAACAUUUGUAUAACCAAAAGGAAUAUGUAUUUCAUUUUCACAUACCAUGAAUAUGAUAUACACAUGAUUUCCAUGAUAUUGAUAGACACAUUAAUUGAACUUUAAAAUCCUGCUAUGGAUAAUGUUGGUAUACAUGUUUUGAAUACUCUGUGCUAGGGUCAAUGUGGUUCUUAUUUGUACUCUAAAAUCUUACGCGUGGCUUUCCCCCAAGGAUCUGUGAGUGAAAUUCAAAAUAAAAAAAUAAAAUAAAACACAUGCUAGAUAUUCUAAACGUGAAGGCUUAAAAUAAAUCCACAGGCUGUUUUUAACAUUGUAGAGUUUGGUCUAAGGUAAAAAUAAUCAGAGGUCUAGCUACAGAUCUACAGAGCUCUUUCUCCACACAACUUUCUCCUCGCUGUGCCCUUUGAUCUCUAGCCACUGCCACUGCCACUGUAGCCUCCUGGGACUCCCAGCUCCAAGUCCAUCUGGGAGACCACAGGGCUCUACCUUGGUACCACCUCUACCCUCAGCACUGUUGCCUAGAGACUCUCUCUCUAGGCCAGUAAGCUAGGGCAAUUAUUUUCCAUCAUUCAGGGGUCACUAUCCUUCAUUGCCUGGUGACUUUUGUUUUUUGUAGGAAGAGUG